UCUAGGGCUGGCAAACGAGCGAGCCGGCUCGCGUUCGACUCGCGUUCGGCUCGAUAUUCAGCUCGCUCGAGCUCGGCUCGAAAUUAGAUGAGCCGAGCUUGAACAAAAAAAAAAGCUCGAAAUUCAUUUCAAGCCGAGCUUGAGUAUUACUCGGCUCGCUCGAAUUAGGCUCGAAAAGCUCGAAUAUAUAUAUAUAUAGGCUAAGUGAGUAACCUAAGUUUAGUUAAAAUUGAGCCAAUAUUGCUGGGCCAUAAGAACAAACCCAAUAUGCCAACAAAAAGGUAAAAUUUUACUAAAUUUACACUCUCUCCCUCCUUUUCUUUUACAAAGCCUUAAAUUCCUAAUCUCUCUCUCUCUCUCUCUCUCUCUCCUCAAGCGGCCAAACCUGAAGCCCCCCAAGUUAUCAAGUAACAGCACGCGCCCGCUGUUGCCUACCUUGCCAUUAAUUGUGUGCUUGAGAAAAUAUACAGAAUAUUUUUAAGGUAGAAAAUUAUUAUUUAUAUAAAAUUUUGAUUUUAGUUAUAUAUAAUUAGAUAGUUUAAUCUAAUAUUUGUCUAUAUAAUUUAUUCAUUUUUUGACCGCAUAGGUGAAAAAGAAUAAUAUGGAAAUUGAAGGCGGAAGAGAAGACAUGCGAAGCUGAAAAGAUUAGAUAUUCAACUCGUAAAUUAUUUUUCUUUAUAUUAUAAUACCGUAUUUCAUAUAAUUAUUUUGUAUCUUGAACUAUUAGAUAUAUUUUUGUAUCAAAUUAUAAAUAAUGUUCUAUACAAAUUAAACUAUUAAUCGUACAAUGUUGAGAAUUUCAAGCGGCUCGCUUAGGGCUCGAGCUCGCUCGACUCGAAAUUAGGCUCGCUCGAGCUCGGCUCGAAUUAAUUUCAAGCCGAGCUUGAGCAUAAAUUUAGGCUCGAAAUUAAUUUCAAGCCGAAUUUGAGCUGAGGCAAGCUUGCUCGGGCUCGGCUCGUUUCCACCC
rnacentral:lncRNA from 1 species